UUAGACAAACAAACAGCCCCUAAGAUAACAUCCCUGUUCUAUUUUCAUUUGAGCGGGUUCCCAAAUUUUCCAAACCCCGCUUCUAAUAAAACGUUUCCCCCAAAUUUUCAAAAGGCUCGUCAACAAUGCUCUUCUUCAUCUCAAACCCCAAAUCCUUAAACCCUAGAACCUGAAUUCAAUGAUCUGAGAUAGUUCGGCGGCGACGGCAACGAUGAACUCCGCUCCGCCUUCUUCGAGAUCCGGCUCUUCUACGUCCGUAUCUCCCCGCGCUCGAUCGACACCGUUCCUUCAUCCCUAACCCUAACUCAUCUCUAACCCUAACUCAUCUCCGCCGUCCAAUUGGAGUCUGCCUCGAGAUCAACGGCUCAAAGACCCCCUUCUCCGAUUAAACCUCUAUCCUCCUCCGUCGCGAUCGGAUCGACUGCGAGACGUUGGAAGUGACCUACGUCAGCACCGACAACGUCAAGCUCACUGGCCCCGUCGAUUUCGAGGUGAUCGAUGAUCGAGGGAACCUAAUCCUUUGUGGAUUGCUGGAGAAGAUGGAGGCGGGGUGGAGCAACGGGAGUAUUGGAUCCAAUAAGGAUCCGAAAACAGGGUGGAGCAUGGACUGUUAUUUGGCGGGUCGAUUAUUAAUGGAUUGGGUUUAUUACAGCCGAAGUUGGGGAUUGUGAAUCCGUUGAUUGAGGAUAGGGUACCUGCAUUUUCACCUGAAAAAACAAGAACUUUCAUA